UACCAGCACCCCGAGUGGUCGGGACGAUUAUUGGGCCUAAAGCAUCCGUAGCCGGUCCUGCAAGUCUUCCGUUAAAUCCAGCUGCUCAACAGAUGGGCUGCGGGAGAUACUACAGGGCUAGGAGGCGGGAGAGGCAAGCGGUACUUUAUGGGUAGGGGUAAAAUCCGCUGAUCCAUAGAAGACCACCAGUGGCGAAGGCGGCUUGCCAGAACGCGCUCGACGGUGGGGGAUGAAAGCUGGGGGAGCAAACCGG
rnacentral:rRNA from 1 species